AACACAGUGGGCGCUCAAUAAAUGUUUGUUGAAUUGAGAUGCGCUAAAUUCAACGGGUAUUUAUUGAGCACCCACUCUGUG
rnacentral:pre_miRNA from 1 species